rnacentral:rRNA from 1 species
CCGUGCCCAACCCCAGACAGCCUACCCCGCACAACCUAGGCCAGGAGAUGACAUCAGGCACGCACACAAAUGUUCAGCCCAUGACGUCUAGCCCCGCCACACCCCCACGGAUUUCAGCAGUGAUAAACAUUAAGCAAUGGGCCCAAACAUAAGCCUGACUCAGCUAUGGCCACACAAGCGUCGGUAAACUUCGUGCCAGCCACCGCGGUUAUACGAAGGACUCAAAACAAUACCCACGGCAUAAAACGUGACUAGAACCACCGCCCCCAGAAACUCACAACCCUAAUAUAGCUGUAAAACGCAUAUAUAUACUGGAACCCCGCCGAUUUUCUACCAAAAACUUUGACCUCACGAAAGCCAGGACCUAAACUAGGAUUAGAUACCCUACUAUACCCGGCCGUAAACCAAGAUGGUUCAACCAUACCACCAUCUGCCCGAGAAUUACAAGUGAAAAACUUAAAACUCUAAGGACUUGACGGUGCCCCACACCAAUCUAGAGGAGCCUGUCCUAUAAUCGAUACUCCACGCUCUACCUCACCCCCCCUUGCAAAACCCGCCUAUAUACCGCCGUCGCCAGCCUACCUACUGAUAGCAACAACAGUCGGCACAACAGCACUCCGCUAGUACGUCAGGUCAAGGUGUAGCUCAUGGGGGGGACUAAGAUGGGCUACAUUUGCUAGCCUAUAGCAAAUCACACUAAAAGCCCUAUGAAACAAGGGCCCACAGGCGGAUUUAGCAGUAAACCCCGGGCAAGACCUGCCCGCUUGAACCCCGCUCUGGGGUGCGUACACACCGCCCGUCACCCUCCUCAACACCAUACCAAACCACUCCCUUAAGAAUACCAC